rnacentral:tRNA from 1 species
UUAAUUGAAGCCAAAAAGAGGCAUAUUACUGUUAAUGAUAAAAUUGAAAUCAAUCUCCAAUUAAA